GGACGAACGCUGGCGGCGUGCCUAAUACAUGCAAGUAGAACGCUGAAGGAGGAGCUUGCUUCUCUGGAUGAGUUGCGAACGGGUGAGUAACGCGUAGGUAACCUGCCUGGUAGCGGGGGAUAACUAUUGGAAACGAUAGCUAAUACCGCAUAAGAGUAGAUGUCGCAUGACAUUUGCUUAAAAGGUGCAAUUGCAUCACUACCAGAUGGACCUGCGUUGUAUUAGCUAGUUGGUGAGGUAACGGCUCACCAAGGCAACGAUACAUAGCCGACCUGAGAGGGUGAUCGGCCACACUGGGACUGAGACACGGCCCAGACUCCUACGGGAGGCAGCAGUAGGGAAUCUUCGGCAAUGGACGGAAGUCUGACCGAGCAACGCCGCGUGAGUGAAGAAGGUUUUCGGAUCGUAAAGCUCUGUUGUAAGAGAAGAACGAGUGUGAGAGUGGAAAGUUCACACUGUGACGGUAUCUUACCAGAAAGGGACGGCUAACUACGUG
rnacentral:rRNA from 1 species